UUGUUCCUUGUUAGUUGGUGAUUUCUGGUUCUUGUUUGAUGCAUCAUUUUUGCUGUGCCUCUUUCGCUUUUUGUUGGUCAUUGCCACAAUUCUAAUUUCUUUUUAGGCGAAACUCUGUCAAACUAAUGCUCUACUCAUCGGUGUGUGCUGCUACAGGCGAUUGGAGAAGUUGCAGCUGCGUGCUUGAAUCACAGUGACGGCUGCAUGCUGAUUUGCUAGGUAUU
rnacentral:lncRNA from 1 species